AUUGUUGUCACGGCCCAAGUGCCUGGGGCCAGGCCAAACGAAAGCCAAGGCCAAAGCUCACAAUUAUAAUACCGUACACAGGCACAAGCACACGCACACACUCUCUCUCUGUCUCUCUCUCUCCUGCAGCUACUUUUGAGACCCGUACGCAAAGCAAAUUUAUCCUUGGCACGCAAUCCAGCCAAGAUGCUGGGACGGGCCGAAAGAGUUGAGCCCCACACACAUAUUUACGCAUAUUGGCUGUAAAGCCACACGGCACAGGCAGAUCCUCAGGCAGAGGCACAGUCCCGCAGGCUAAGGCCGAAAACUCUUAAGCUUAGCGCCAAAACUUUGUGGUAUUGUUGUGUGUCCUUGGAGAAUUAUGCUGACAAGCAGCUGAGGCACAACACCAACAACAACAAUAACAAGGACAAUAGCCAACUACAGCUGCUCGAUACUUUUGCUUAUAGAUAUUCAACACAAUAUCUGACUAUGUG